rnacentral:rRNA from 1 species
AUUGAACGCUGGCGGCAGGCUUAACACAUGCAAGUCGAGCGGGGGAAGGUAGCUUGCUACCGGACCUAGCGGCGGACGGGUGAGUAAUGCUUAGGAAUCUGCCUAUUAGUGGGGGACAACAUCUCGAAAGGGAUGCUAAUACCGCAUACGUCCUACGGGAGAAAGCAGGGGAUCUUCGGACCUUGCGCUAAUAGAUGAGCCUAAGUCGGAUUAGCUAGUUGGUGGGGUAAAGGCCUACCAAGGCGACGAUCUGUAGCGGGUCUGAGAGGAUGAUCCGCCACACUGGGACUGAGACACGGCCCAGACUCCUACGGGAGGCAGCAGUGGGGAAUAUUGGACAAUGGGGGGAACCCUGAUCCAGCCAGGCCGCGUGUGUGAAGAAGGCCUUAUGGUUGUAAAGCACUUUAAGCGAGGAGGAGGCUACUUUAGUUAAUACCUAGAGAUAGUGGACGUUACUCGCAGAAUAAGCACCGGCUAACUCCGUG